CAGUCAACUUCGAAAAGGUAUGAGUUGGAUGAUCUUCAGCAGCUUCCUUCGAGAUGGUAUGAAUUUUAGGACCAAGAAUUUCAUUAACAAAAAUGGUUCCCCCAAAA